GCGCCCGCUGCUCAAGUGUAUGCAGCCCAGGUCUUCGGAACCGGGGGUUGGGGGUUCAAGUCCCUUCGGGCGUA
rnacentral:tRNA from 1 species